AGGGCAAGUCUGGUGCCAGCAGCCGCGGUAAUUCCAGCUCCAAUAGCGUAUAUUAAAGUUGUUGCAGUUAAAAAGCUCGUAGUUGAAUUUCGGGAUCAAUCUAUCGGUCGUGCAAUAGUACGUACUGAUUUUAUUGAUUCCUCCCUUCUGAUGAACUAUGAUGUCAUUAAUCUGGUGUCAUAGGGAAUCAGGACUGUUACUUUGAAAAAAUUAGAGUGUUUAAAGCAGGCUCACGCUUGAAUACAUUAGCAUGGAAUAACGAAAUAGGACGUUUGAUUCUAUUUUGUUGGUUUCUAGGAUCGACGUAAUGAUUAAUAGGGAUAGUUGGGGGCAUUAGUAUUCAAUUGUCAGAGGUGAAAUUCUUGGAUUUAUUGAAGACUAACUACUGCGAAAGCAUUUGCCAAGGAUGUUUUCAUUAAUCAAGAACGAAAGUUAGGGGAUCGAAGACGAUCAGAUACCGUCGUAGUCUUAACCAUAAACUAUGCCGACUAGGGAUCGGAUGAUGUUAAUUUUUUAAUGACUCAUUCGGCGCCUUACGGGAA
rnacentral:rRNA from 1 species